GUCAAGCUCAUUGGAACCAUCUUGUUGAACAGGGACCUCAUUUGGGAGAAAGCUGUGGGACUGGAAGUAUCUGUGUGACAAUGUGUGUCUCUAGCAGAGGGGGGACUUCAUGUUCAGGUCCCAAAAGAAAAUAUACUCAAUGCUAAACACCUGGAAGAGGCCUGAGGUUCACUGUACCCAAGCAGAUGAUGACAGCUACAGACCCUGGCAGAACCAGCCCACACUGAACCCCUUUUGCCACUUGGAACACCUUGAAGUUGUCAUACCAAUGAAUUCUCUGUUCACUCGACACAGAGCACAGUCCUGCGU
rnacentral:lncRNA from 1 species